rnacentral:rRNA from 9 species
GCGUAACGACUUCCCCACUGUCUCAACUAGAGACCCAGCGAAAUUGGAGUGCGCGUGAAGAUACGCGCUACCCGCGGAAGGACGAAAAGACCCCGUGAACCUUUACUGUAGCUUGACAUUGGGUUUUGAGUAAUAUUGCGUAGGAUAGGUGGGAGAUGUUGAUGCGUGCAUUCCGGUGUACGUGGAGUCGUCCUUGAAAUACCACCCUAUAUUACUUGAAAUCCUAACCUACUGUCGUAAUCCGGCAGGGGGACAAUGUCUGGUGGGCAGUUUGACUGGGGCGGUCGC